CAGCGGCGAAGAAGAAGAGAGCACGAAGCCGAGAGAUCGAGCGCUCGAUCUAAUCGUAGGGCUUCCGAUUUGAGACACCACGGCUAGCCUUGCAGCCGACCGGCGGGCAACCGACCGCCACCUCAACCCCCACGGCCGCCACCAACAAGUGGAGCGCCGCCGGGCUACCGACGAGGCCCUCCGCCUCCCCCUAGACAAGCAGCGCAGCCCCGCCCCACACGGCGGCCGCGGCGCCCUCCCCUCCGCCGGCGGCCACCCCUCCGACCUCCUCUUCCUUGCCGGCGGCGGCCCUCUAUCUGCCCUCCUCUUUCCCCGCUCUUAAUUGACCUGUUCCUCCCUCAUCUACGUAUCGAUAGAGUUGUAUAGAGAUGCUGACCAUCAAGAGGGUCCCCACCGUAUUUUCCAACUACCAGGAGGACGCCGCCGAGCCCCGCGGCUGCGGCCGGAACUGCCUCGGCAAGUGCUGCUUGCCCGGUAAAGACACCUAACCCAUCAUCUUGAUCUAAUCAACGAAGUCCCUUCAUCAAAAUCCCUUUUUUACUGAAUUUUUGAGUUUUUUUUUUGGGUAGCAGUCUCAAAACUUCCCCUUUAUGCCUUCAAAAGCGACUCGAAGCCGCCGGUUUCUCCCUCUGGCGCCACCGAGGAUCCACCGGCCGACUUUUUCCUCAACGCCCUUUUGCUUGGACAGGUAUUCGUCAUAUAUGAACCCUCAAAAUUUGAUCUUUUUGUUGUCUUCGAUUUUUCUUAUGUGUUUUAGUGAUGUGCUUGUUAUUGGUUUGUUGAUUUUCGGGUGGGGGGUUUGUAGUGGGAAGAUCGGAUGAGCCGGGGGUUGUUCCGGUAUGAUGUGACGGCCUGCGAAACCAAGGUGAUCCCUGGGGAGCAAGGGUUCAUUGCCCAGCUGAACGAGGGCCGCCACCUCAAGAAACGGCCCGCCGAGUUCCGGGUCGACCGCGUCCUCCAGCCAUUUGAUCCUGCCAAGUUUAACUUCACCAAGGUUGGCCAGGAGGAGGUGCUGUUCCGCUUCGAGGCCGGGGGAGCCGACAAGAGUCGCUUCUUUGAGAGUGCCUCUGUUGAUGAAGCCAACCCUCCUAGCGUCGUCGCAAUCAAUGUAAGAGGCCAUUUUUUGGUGUAUUCAUCUUAGUUUGGCUUUUCGUAUCCGGCUAUAUGAUAUUACUGUUGAUAUUUCUAAUGGUUGCAGGUAAGUCCUAUUGAGUAUGGUCAUGUGCUGCUGAUCCCGCGUGUGCUCGACUGCUUGCCUCAGAGGAUCGACACCGAGAGCUUCUUGCUUGCCCUCCAUAUGGCAGCAGAAGCAGGGAACCCUUACUUCAGGCUGGGAUACAAUAGUUUGGGUGCCUUUGCCACUAUUAAUCACCUGCAUUUCCAGGUCACUACUUCUUCCUGCCUUACUUGUUCUUUCCCAUGGGGUGACUGCUUAUGAUCGCUAUUUUAUUUGCAUGGAGUAUGAAUUAUUGAUUACAUUGAUAAUGGAAUGCUUUCAAUUGUAUGGCGACAGGCCGGCGAAGAAGAAGAGAGCACGAAGCCGAGAGAUCGAGCGCUCGAUCUAAUCGUAGGGCUUCCGAUUUGAGACACCACGGCUAGCCUUGCAGCCGACCGGCGGGCAACCGACCGCCACCUCAACCCCCACGGCCGCCACCAACAAGUGGAGCGCCGCCGGGCUACCGACGAGGCCCUCCGCCUCCCCCUAGACAAGCAGCGCAGCCCCGCCCCACACGGCGGCCGCGGCGCCCUCCCCUCCGCCGGUGGCCACCCCUCCGACCUCCUCUUCCUUGCCGGCGGCGGCCCUCUAUCUGCCCUCCUCUUUCCCCGCUCUUAAUUGACCUGUUCCUCCCUCAUCUACGUAUCGAUAGAGUUGUAUAGAGAUGCUGACCAUCAAGAGGGUCCCCACCGUAUUUUCCAACUACCAGGAGGACGCCGCCGAGCCCCGCGGCUGCGGCCGGAACUGCCUCGGCAAGUGCUGCUUGCCCGUCUCAAAACUUCCCCUUUAUGCCUUCAAAAGCGACUCGAAGCCGCCGGUUUCUCCCUCUGGCGCCACCGAGGAUCCACCGGCCGACUUUUUCCUCAACGCCCUUUUGCUUGGACAGUGGGAAGAUCGGAUGAGCCGGGGGUUGUUCCGGUAUGAUGUGACGGCCUGCGAAACCAAGGUGAUCCCUGGGGAGCAAGGGUUCAUUGCCCAGCUGAACGAGGGCCGCCACCUCAAGAAACGGCCCGCCGAGUUCCGGGUCGACCGCGUCCUCCAGCCAUUUGAUCCUGCCAAGUUUAACUUCGUGCUAUGCUGAAAAACAGGCUCUUGGUGAAGUGAGCCAGGAGCUCUUGGAUACUCAAGUGAACCCUGCUGUAUGGGAGAUCAGCGGGCACAUGGUGCUGAAGCAAAAGAAAGAUUAUGAAGAGGCAUCAGAGGACUAUGCUUGGAGGCUGCUGGCUGAGGUCUCCCUCUCUGAAGAAAGGUUUCAAGAAGUCAAAGCUUGUAUCUUUGAAGCCACAGGUUUGGUGGAGGCCGAAGUGGAAGAUACAGAUGCGAACGAGAAUAAAGGAACUUAUCAGUCUACCACAGCUUCCAAUACUCAUUUCCCAGAAGGCUGUCUGGUUCUACAAUGAAUGAUGAGCCUUCAUCUGCUACUGCUGUUUGCUUUCGCUUGCUUGCUUCUGUACCAAAUAAGGGCCGUUAUGGUGCUGUUUUGUGCAGGAACGUUGCCUGAGGACUUGUUUUUCUUCAGUGUGUGCUCUUUGUUGUUGGCUUAUGUUCCAAUUUUCAGACUGCCAAGCAGAUGCUGAAUCUAUUGUUUGUUUUCAACCCAUAUCUAGUUCUAUCAUGUUCUCGUUCUCAUUGAUGUUUCUAAUGAAGUCUAUGGGCCUAAAAUGAGUACCAAGACAACUAGUGAGAGCAUGUAAAAAUGAGUACCGAGAUGUUUGACACAAUUUGAAAAGCUAGUGAUUACGGCCAACCACUUUUGAUCGAUAGAAUCGUGGUUCUUUUCCAACCUGUGCGUAAAGUCUGCGCGUAAUGAAGAUAGGAGAAGUGAGGGAGUUCUAUUUUGUCCAUUUUCAAUUCAGUAUGGUUCUGUCCCUUCUGUAAUGUCAGAUGAAUAAAUAUACUAAUUCUG
rnacentral:lncRNA from 1 species